rnacentral:rRNA from 1 species
UACAGAGGGUGCAAGCGUUGUUCGGAAUUAUUGGGCGUAAAGCGCGUGUAGGCGGCUUUGCAAGUCUGGUGUGAAAUCCCUCGGCUUAACCGAGGAAGUGCGCCAGAAACUGCAGAGCUUGAGUACCGGAGAGGAUGGUGGAAUUCCCCAAGUAGAGGUGAAAUUCGUAGAUAUGGGGAGGAACACCGGUGGCGAAGGCGACCAUCUGGACGGAUACUGACGCUGAGACGCGAAAACGUGGGGAGCAAACAGG